AGACCAAGCUAGUCUAUGCCAAGCUCUCAUCCUUGCGUGCCUUCCCCUGUUAAGGAAAACAAAACUAAAGGGAUGAGCUAAAAUCUCAGUGAGGUUCCGAAUACAUAAUCAAAUAAUCAAUCCAAUACAUUAAACAUAGAGUAUCAAUAAUUCAAGAAACAUUUACCAUGGAAAGCGAUAUUAACACAUACAUUAAAAGGAUACGGGCUCACAAGGAACCAUAAAUUCGUUCGUUUGUUCGUUCUCCUGACAUUUCCCCUUAUUCCUCCAUUCUUUUGAAAAAUGCAUUUUGUAAAUUAAAACUCUCGUUCGUUCUUUCGUUUCAUUCACCCCCUCCUGGACGUUGGCCAGCCUCCACCAACCUACAAGGUAAUACUCGAGUAUACUGACGUUCACACCCAGGGUCACCAUAUCGGCCGACCGAGUCCGCUUCUGGCUCGAGUCGAUCGGUAACGAAGGGCAGGGCCCAGUUCAACCAAAAGGCUUACAUCAUGCGCAACUAAUGUAUUAAUCAUUAAAUCAUUGAAAAUUUCACGUUUCCUUUAGGUCGAGCGUGAUAAAGUACACGCUCGCCUAAAAAAUUCGUUUUGAAAAUCAUUGGAAACAUUUAACACAUUUUCGAACAAUAACACCAAGUCAUGAAGUCAAGGAAGAUAUAACAAACAAGGAACACUCACCUAUUUACGCAAAAUAAUAUCCAAAAUAUCCUUCCGGAUAAUACCGUCAGUCACCAAUGAACCCUAAUAGAAUCAAAAGAAUACAUUAUGCUUCAACCAUCAAAGAUUUAAAUGAUUCAAAGACAAGUCGAAUACGUACUAGUACAAAGUAUAAAUAUGAUUUUGGGUAGUGAAAAGAGUACUUUGAAACCAAAGGACCUAAGUAAAAUAUUUGUAAAACUUAGACUCACUUGUAAAACUUUAAAAUCGCUAUUUGAGCCAAAGUGUCAAAGAAAACGUAAAUACCCUAGAUGGUUCACAUGGUAUUCGCUCUCAAGCCUUACUCAAGUCGCAAGUAUAUCGACCUAGUUCUCGAGCGUAAAUUUGGGCAGCACGCCCUUUGUAUUUACCUAUUUUCCUGUCAUUAUGGCUUCAUUCUUUUCCUCAAUCAAACCCAAAGUCAUAUACAGAAUCAUCUCAUUUCAAUAGCCAUUCCAUAGGCUCCAAGUCAUACUAGUACAAAAUCAAGCUAGGAGCAUGUGCGGAAAUGAAGGUUGAGUUGGAAAAUAAAAGACAGAUUUGACGUUAUUUUGCGUAACGGACACAACUGAAACUACGCUUAUUGGAUUGGGGUGUAAUUUAUACCGUUUCGAAGCUAAGACAGAGGCCUAUAACUUUGAUGAAGGCUACUCAGUCCAGUUUACAAUGUUUCUAGGUCAAAUUUACCAAAACAACCCCAGAUUUUCCAAUUCGAAGUUUACUGUGGCAGUCCUGAUUCAUUCAGUCAUAUCUCAGCAUAUACAACUCCAAUUCAAGUGAUUCCAAAGCCAUUUGAAAGCUAAGAUACAAGGCUAUAAGUCUUAAGAAGACAUCGACAACCAAAUCAGUAGUAUUCCUGGUCAAAACAACCAAUUACAGAAGCUGAUUAGCAUGUUCGGAUAGAAACAGGGCAGCAGGGGUAUUUAGGUCUUUUCACAGGCUACGUUGCUCCGAUUGAGCUGAAAUUUUGCAGGCUACCAUAAAACAUUAUUCUCUACAACGUUUAUGUUUUGUGCUAAGGCCAAAUCGGCCUCUAACCAGGUGUAACAGUACCAGCAGAAUUGGGGAAAAAAUGAAACCCUAAUCUGGAAUUCAUGCAUUCAAGUGCUAAUCUUCCACAAAAAAACAUCUAAAACAACUAAAAACCACUAAUCACCAAUUAAUUGAAGUAAAGAGGAAGUUCUUGGCAAAAUACCUUAAAACCCCAAGAAAGUUGGUAGCUUAGUGCUUCCCUUUCCAAAACAACUCCACCAAUCCUUCUUAAUUCUUUCUAGCAAGAAGUUUUAUGGAGUAAUUUAAGAUGCUAAUGGUUGGAACUCAAGAUUGGGCAAGAAAUUGAAGAUGCAAGAUGAAAGGUUUUGCUUGAUGUUUCCUCUCCAAGGUUCGGCC
rnacentral:lncRNA from 1 species